AAAAUGAUGAGUAUAUUUAAUAUUCACUAAGCUACAUAUAUUUCGAGGCAGAUCCCAUAUUUCUAGUUGGGUCUAUUACUUCCUUUGUAAGGCUUCAACAAAUUAUAGUGAACAACCUUGGAUUUACUUUUUGUUGUUUUUCUAAUUUUGUAUAUAACAUCAUUGAUUCUUUUCAGAAUUAAGUAAGGUCCCAACCAAUGACACUGGAGCUUUGGUGAUCCCAUUUUAUUAAUAUUAUGGGCGUAGUACCAUACAAGAUCUCCCUCUUCAUAACCUUGAAAAUUUAUCUUUGAGUUGUAUUCUCUUAACAUUUUUUCUGUAGCUAAACUCAUUUUAUCCCUAGCAAACUCAUGUAUUUUAUCCAUAGAUUGAGACAAUUUGUAAGCAUAUUCUGACAUUUCUAAUGUACUUUCAGGUUGUAGCCUUCCCAAUACUAAAUCAGCUGGGAGAGAAACAUGCCUACCGAACAUCAUCUCACAUGGACUUACGCCAGUUGACUCGUGCUGGGCUGACCUAUAAGCUAACAUGAGCAAGGGUGCCUUUUGUUUCGACCUAGUUUCAACAACUGAACACUUUUGUGUAGAUUCUUCAGAUAUGGGAGACAUGGCUGCUGAGAUACCUUCUGUGGGAGCAGGGACUUUCCCGUUAUCCGCGAUGGAUCCAGCGGGACUGAAAAUUUGCUGACCUAUGGGUUUGAAAGUGAC